GUGGGGAAUAUUGGACAAUGGGCGCAAGCCUGAUCCAGCCAUGCCGCGUGAGUGAUGAAGGCCUUAGGGUUGUAAAGCUCUUUCACCGGUGAAGAUGAUGACGGUAACCGGAGAAGAAGCCCCGGCUAACUUCGUGCCAGCAGCCGCGGUAAUACGAAGGGGGCUAGCGUUGUUCGGAAUUACUGGGCGUACAGCGCACGUAGGCGGAUAUUUAAGUCAGGGGUGAAAUCUCAGAGCUCCACUCUGGAACUGCCUUUGAUACUGGGUAUCUCGAGUAUGGAAGAGGUAAGUGGAAUUCCGAGUGUAGAGGUGAAAUUCGUAGAUAUUCGGAGGAACACCAGUGGCGAAGGCGGCUUACUGGUCCAUUGCUGACGCUGAGGUGCGAAAGCGUGGGGAGCAAACAGGGUUAGAAACCCGUGUAGUCC
rnacentral:rRNA from 1 species